rnacentral:tRNA from 1 species
GGGAGUUUGGUCUAGUGGUAUGAUUCUCGCUUAGGGCGCUAUAACCUGAUAUGCGAGAGGUCGUGGGUUCAAUUCCCGCAACUCCCC